UUAUUACUAAAUUAUAAUAAAAACAGAAAAUAAUAAUAAUAAUUAUUGUUAUUAUUAUGAUGACGGUUUUGUAUUUUGAUUAUUGAACCAAGACUUUAAGUAUUAGGCAUAUUAUAUAAUUGCUUAUGAUAUUAUGCUUCUUUAAUAGCAGAUAUGUUAUUAGACAUAUUAUAUAAUUGCUUAUGACAUUUUGAUUUCUUUAAUAGGAUAUAUAUUACAUUAUGACACUAUUGUUUAAGUAGCAGAUAUAUUUCAGUUUAUAUUUUAUUUAUUAUUUUCUAAUUUUUUGAAUUGAUAAUUAUGUAUAUUCAUAAUAUUUUAUCGACUGCCAUAUCCCUGUGGCGGUUUUUGGGUUGGCCGUCAUGCGCCAUCCAUAACAUCGUUGAUUACUAGUAUUCUUUAUGACAAAUUUCUCUUAUUUUCGCCGAGGAUUAUGGAAUAAUUGGAAUACAUCAUUUGCCGUACGAAUAUGAUCAUCGACAUGCUCAUGCUUAGUGGAAAGAAGCCUACUAUUGCAGUGCCAACUGAAAUGAGUUUGGAAGAGAUUUAGAGCAGAUUAGGAUCCCUUAUUCAAGUAGAGACGAUUACUCUAAGAGGUGUUGCGUUGAAAGAGCGGCUUGAAGGUAUUACAGGAAGAGUAGCUGACAUAAAGACUCGUGCUCAAGCCAUGAAGUGUCUUUCCACUUUUAGUGAAGCUGUGGGUCCUGAUUUUACUUUUGAGAGGGUCAUUUGAAAAAUAAUCUAAAAUCUCAGAUUGGGGAUUCAGGCCUUGAUAUCUGUAUUGGUGUGCCAACAUCGCAAUGUUGUGGAGCAAUUUGGUAAAUUUUUCAUAUUGGGAAACACGUUUGUAUAAAAUUAUGAAGGAGUGGAAGAAUCCAAAGGUUCUUAGAGAAAAGCCUAUCCUGAUGGUAUCUGUAGUGGACGACUUUGUUACUUCUCAUAUUAAGCUGAAGAGACGUCGGAUUACAAUCAAUAUAGUGACUUUUGCAGGGACGUCGGAUUACAAUCAAUCUAGUGCAGCUGCAACUAGAAAUGCUACAGUUAAACUUGUCCUUCAUAAUUUUGUUGGUCCAGGGAUAUUCUAUCUGAGGUUAAAACUUCUUUACUAAGUACUCUUGUUGACACCGAGUAUGAAAAGUUCCUGUACGAGGCAUCUGUAGCUCCAACUAAGUCUACAUCAUCUGCGGUGACUGGUGGCAUGGAUGGUCUUCCACGUGAAGAUAUCAGUGAAAGGAUCAGCCCCACGUGAAGAUAUGUUUGUUAAUCAUCAAAUCUGUGAAUGAUUUAAGAGGGCAUGCUGUCAAUCUGAAUUUAUUUUUCUGUCAAAGUCUGCUUGGAAUCUAUUGAAAGUGUAACCAAAAUUCUGGAAGAGGCGAACAAACGUAUUCUGCCGGGUGGACUGGCCAGUUGAGAAGUCAAGCAAGGGCAUUCUUUCAGAUGUCUUGAAAUGCCUUGGCUACAACAAAAAGCAUAUGCAUGAGAGUACAUUGAGCACCUUAGAUACUUGGCUUGGUGUUGCUCAUCCCAAUAAAAUGCUACCAUAUAUUACAGCUUUGAGUAUCGUUGACCUCAUCGUUUGUUGCUGUCUUCAGCUACCAUAUAUUACAGCAGUUCUCACAUACGCCAAAGUAGGCGCAGAAGAGCGCAAGGAUUUUUUUGAUUGGCUAUCAAGAAAGCUUCCUAGUUUGUCUGAGUUUCCUGAUGUAGGUGUUUGUGUCAACUUUAUGUCUCAAGAAAUAUCUUGGUUACCUAUCCAGGAUAAAUCAGUAGAUGUUCGUAAAUCGGCUGCAUGCUUUAAUGAAAUAUUGAGUGUUUGUGGACAAGAAACGGUAUGAAUAUCCAAAAUUUUUAUCUUCAUUGAGGUUUGCCAACUCUUUUACCUGCUAGAUGGCGCUAGACCUAUCUUAUUCUCUCCCCUAAUAGGUAUCAAAAAUUUGAGAGAUAUACAAGGUUCUGCUUAAGCUAUUAUUUGCUAACGUCUGAAGACAUGAAGCUUUUCAAGGUAGAUCUGUUUUGUCAAGCAUCGCGUUUAAAAGCAGCCUAAAGACAGAAUAAAUGGUCAUGGCGACCGCAAAUCUGGGCAUGGAAGAAGAAAUGCACUCUCAGUUUGUUUUCUGUUGUUAAUAUCUUUCUUCUUAACCAUAAUAUAUUUGUUAAUUGAUGUCCUGUUUAUUUAGAGAGUUGUACCUAACAAGGGAUACGGGCAAGAGUACAUCUUGUCUGCUCAAGACAUCAACACUAACCUGAAGGAUUCAAGAAUGAUGUCAUGAAAUACUUUGAGAGGAUCUGAUCGGAGGCUCUUAAGUGCUGACUUCAAAAGCAAGUUGAUGGCAUUGAGAUCUGGCAGAAGGUACUUGAAUUUCUUCCCGAGCUUCUAGAUCUGUUCAAAAAUGAGGGCUGUGAGGCAACCAUCUUUCUUCCUUGCUUGGUUGAAAAGGUAAUUAUCUGUCUGUGAUAUCUCAAGCAUUAUCCAAAGUCUUAUUAAGUUAAAGGAAGUUGUUGUGGCAAGUGAAUGCAUAGUUAUUACUUUUGUUUUUAACAUCGUCUUUGUUGAUAAUUCUGCGAAUUAUGUAGGUGAUAAUAUUUCUUCUAGUUCUUCCACUAAAAUAGUUCUUAUGCUUUUUUGAAUCAUGCACGAGAGAUGGAGAAGAAGGCAAGCCUGGAGAAGCUAGAGUUGCCCUAAGACUACUCUCCAUUCGAGAAAAUAUGUGCAGAGAGCGUGUAUUUUUUAUAGUGUGUGUCGAGUGCAUGUAUUUUGUGUAUAGUUUGUUUAUAAUGUAUGCUAUGUGUAUAUUUUCAGUUCAAGUAUAUUUUGUGUA